UAAACAUUGACAGUUAAUAACACCCACUGUCCGCCUGGGGACUACGAGCACCAGCUUAAAACCCAAAGGACUUGGCGGUGCUUUAGACCCACCUAGAGGAGCCUGUUCUAGAACCGAUAAUCCCCGUUAAACCUCACCCUUCCUUGUCAUUUCCGCCUAUAUACCACCGUCGUCAGCUUACCCUGUGAAGGCCUCAUAGUAAGCACAAUCGGUAGCACCCAGUACGUCAGGUCGAGGUGUAGCGAAUGGAAGGGGAAGAAAUGGGCUACAUUUACUAAUAUAGUAAAUACGGAUGAUUACCCUGCAACGAGUAUCUGAAGGAGGAUUUAGCAGUAAGCAAAAAAUAGAGUGUUUUGCUGAAAUUGGC
rnacentral:rRNA from 1 species